rnacentral:lncRNA from 1 species
CCAUAAUAAGAGUUUCAACAACUUCAAAAUGAGCAUUUGAGAAUCAAAAGAAAAGGUUGUAAGGUUUAGAAUUUGGACCACAAUUUGUGCACAAAUUGUAGAGAAUUUGGAAUUAAGAUGAUAAAGUUAUAGCUAUUUGAAGUUUAGGUGUCUUUUUAAGAUAUAUAGUUGCUGUUUUGAAGAUACAAGAAGUUUUAUGAUAGAUUUUAGAGAUAUAAA